rnacentral:rRNA from 1 species
UACGUAGGGUGCAAGCGUUAUUCGGAAUUACUGGGCGUAAAGCGCGCGCAGGCGGUUUCGCAAGUCUGUCGUGAAAUCCCCCGGCUUAACCUGGGAACUGCGUCUGAUACUGGACGGCUUGAGUAUGGGAGAGGGAUGUAGAAUUCCAGGUGUAGCGGUGAAAUGCGUAGAUAUCUGGAGGAAUACCGGUGGCGAAGGCGGCAUCCUGGACCAUUACUGACGCUGAGGCGCGAAAGCUAGGGGAGCAAACGGG